GACGAACGCUGGCGGCGUGCUCAACACAUGCAAGUCGAACGGUAAGGCCCUUCGGGGUACACGAGUGGCGAACGGGUGAGUAACACGUGGGUGAUCUGCCCUGCACUUCGGGAUAAGCCUGGGAAACUGGGUCUAAUACCGGAUAGGACCACUGCCUGCAUGGGUGGUGGGGGAAAGCUUUUGCGGUGUGGGAUGGGCCCGCGGCCUAUCAGCUUGUUGGUGGGGUGAUGGCCUAGCAAGGCGACGACGGGUAGCCGGCCUGAGAGGGUGACCGGCCACACUGGGACUGAGAUACGGCCCAGACUCCUACGGGAGGCAGCAGUGGGGAAUAUUGCACAAUGGGCGCAAGCCUGAUGCAGCGACGCCGCGUGAGGGAUGACGGCCUUCGGGUUGUAAACCUCUUUCAGCACCGACGAAGCGCAAGUGACGGUAGGUGCAGAAGAAGGACCGGCCAACUACGUGCCAGCCGCCGCCGUAA
rnacentral:rRNA from 1 species